GUCCCAAGCUCCAAGCAGAAGAAGCAUCGGCGAUUUCUCCCGAGGUACGCUUCUCAACCCUAAUUUCUCCAUCGAAUCCCACAUCCUCCCUCCUCCAGAUUCCAAUAUCCUUCUAUUGGAUCCGAUCCCUUGAUCUCUCUUUUGCGAAUCGAGAAACCGGGUUCUUCGCGGGGGACUCGUCGAGAUAGUGGAGACAUCGAUACGCCAUGGCGGAUUUCGCGCCCUGUUGAAUGUCAGUCGUGACGGAUGGCGCUGAUGGUGGCAAAUAACGUUGUAGCGCUGAUGGUGGCAAAUAACGUUGUAGUUGGAGGCCACGAGUGAUUGUUAUAGUUGAGGCGCGCAGCAACGAGAGGUGAGAGUCACUUUGUAUUUGCGUCAAUCCCAAUAUAGUUGUCGAGCGACUCUUUCGUCGCACAGCAUCUAUAUCAAUGAUCCUUUCGUUACUUGACAACUACAUCAACGCCGACACAGAUGCAGAGUGGCGUUGCUUGGUAACUAUGUUGGCUUCGACGCAUUUGUGUCGACACUGAUGUAUAUAUCGAGCGGCUCUCACCUCUCACCGUCACUCUCCUCAUCCAUAAUAAUUACCCACGACCCUCAACAACAUCGUCGUUUGCCACCACUGAUGCUGUCCCCCAACACCAAUUGGAAUGUUAAAAUUAUCUUCUUACUUUUUGUUUUCGUGUUUUCGUUGAUAAAACCGAUGACAUUAAGAUAAAUAGACUCAGAUGUUUCACUUUCGUAACUAUAUGGAUGCCAAUGUAACUUUUUAAAAUGUAAGAACUAAGAUACUAAAGGUAACUACCUACAAUGGGUAAUUUGUAA